CUUAGCACGCCGAUAGUAGUUGGGGGAUCGCCCCCUGCGAGGAUAGGACGUUGCCACGCGAUUAUUCCGGCAUAGCUCAGUUGGUAGAGCACCUGACUGUUAAUCAGGUUGUCGRCGGU
rnacentral:rRNA from 1 species